rnacentral:rRNA from 1 species
UACGUAGGGUGCAAGCGUUUGUCCGGAAUUAUUGGGCGUAAAGGGCUCGUAGGCGGUCCAUCGCGCGGGAGUGAAAAGCUGGGGCUUAACCCCAGUCCUGCUUCCGAUACGGGUGGACUAGAGGUAGGUAGGGGAGAACGGAAUUCCUGGUGUAGCGGUGAAAUGCGCAGAUAUCAGGAGGAACACCGGUGGCGAAGGCGGUUCUCUGGGCCUUACCUGACGCUGAGGAGCGAAAGCGUGGGGAGCAAACAGG